GCUUGUGGCUCGGCAGGCACCCUACCGGACAACCUGCAGCACUGGGCCCGGCCUGUGCAACACUGUGAGACCUGCACCACAACGUCAGAGGCUGCCAACCGCAGCACACUCACCAGCUAGGGGGGAAAAAAGUCAGGUGACGGGCAUCAGAUGAAAACUACUUUCAACCUGACAUGCUGCGACUUCCUGUCCUUGCCUCAUCCAUAGCCUGCCUCAUGACCGCUGCGACCUAUUGCUCCAGCUCCGUCCCUCGUGGUCAGGCUCUUAUGGACAUCUAGAAGGUUACAAUAAUACAAUAUGAUACAGAAGGCGAUUUAAGUGGGUUGGUAUAAUUGUCUGUUGGUGUCACUGUCAGACAUCAACAAGGAGUAUCGAGUCAAACCGCUGCCUCCAACCACUCGAGGUUGUUCUGGCAUCUGAUCAGGCAGUCUCCUGGACACUUCUCUGCAUCCAACUUGGAGUCCAUCUGGACUGGGAAAGCCUCAUGAUUCCCCAGAAAGAACUGGAAGACAUGACUGUGAAGAUAAACAUCUGGGCUACCUCGUUUAGCCUGCAGCCACAACCACCUGCAUCAACUCCAUAACGGAUAGAAAGUCAGCGGUAAAUGUACUACAUGAAGCAGACCAAUGGACAAAGUCACUGCUGUUUGAUGUUUGUUUUUUUAAUUGGUUAUUUAUUUAUUUAUAAGGUACAUAUGUUUCAUAAUAUUAAUAAACUGGAUAAACUGCA